GACGAACGCUGGCGGCGUGCUUAACACAUGCAAGUCGAACGGUGAAGCGCCUUCCUUUUUGGUGGGUGUGGAUGAGUGGCGAACGGGUGAGUAACACGUGAGUAACCUGCCCCCUUCUUCUGGAUAACCGCAUGAAAGUGUGGCUAAUACGGGAUAUUCUGGGUCUGUCGCAUGAUGGGUCUGGGAAAGAUAUUGUUUCGGUGGGGGAUGGGCUCGCGGCCUAUCAGCUUGUUGGUGGGGUGAUGGCCUACCAAGGCGGUGACGGGUAGCCGGCCUGAGAGGGUGGACGGUCACACUGGGGCUGAGACACGGCCCAGACUCCUACGGGAGGCAGCAGUGGGGAAUAUUGCACAAUGGGCGCAAGCCUGAUGCAGCGACGCCGCGUGAGGGAUGGAGGCCUUCGGGUUGUGAACCCCUUUCGCCAGUGAAGCAGGCCUGCCUCGUUUGUGGGUGGGUUGACGGUAGCUGGAUAAGAAGCGCCGGCUAACUACGUG
rnacentral:rRNA from 1 species